ACUAGCAGAAGGGUGAAGUGGUCA
rnacentral:siRNA from 1 species